rnacentral:rRNA from 1 species
GGCUCAGGACGAACGCUGGCGGCGUGCUUAACACAUGCAAGUCGAACGAUGAACCACUUCGGUGGGGAUUAGUGGCGAACGGGUGAGUAACACGUGGGCAAUCUGCCCUUCACUCUGGGACAAGCCCUGGAAACGGGGUCUAAUACCGGAUAACACUCCCUCCCUCCUGGGUGGGGGUUAAAAGCUCCGGCGGUGAAGGAUGAGCCCGCGGCCUAUCAGCUUGUUGGUGAGGUAAUGGCUCACCAAGGCGACGACGGGUAGCCGGCCUGAGAGGGCGACCGGCCACACUGGGACUGAGACACGGCCCAGACUCCUACGGGAGGCAGCAGUGGGGAAUAUUGCACAAUGGGCGAAAGCCUGAUGCAGCGACGCCGCGUGAGGGAUG